AGCCGCCGCGGUAACACCGGCGGCCCGAGUGGUGAUCGUGAUUAUUGGGUCUAAAGGGUCCGUAGCCGGUUGGUCAGUCCUCCGGGAAAUCUGAUAGCUCAACUAUUAGGCUUUCGGGGGAUACUGCCAGACUUGGAACCGGGAGAGGUAAGAGGUACUACAGGGGUAGGAGUGAAAUCUUGUAAUCCCUGUGGGACCACCUGUGGCGAAGGCGUCUUACCAGAACGGGUUCGACGGUGAGGGACGAAAGCUGGGGGCACGAACCGGAUUAGAUACCCGGGUAGUCCCAGCCGUAAACGAUGCUCGCUAGGUGUCAGGCAUGGCGCGACCGUGUCUGGUGCCGCAGGGAAGCCGUGAAGCGAGCCACCUGGGAAGUACGGCCGCAAGGCUGAAACUUAAAGGAAUUGGCGGGGGAGCACAACAACGGGUGGAAGCCUGCGGUUUAAUUGGACUCAACGCCGGACAACUCACCGGGGGCGACAGCAAUAUGUAGGCCAAGCUGAAGACUUUGCCUGAAUCGCUGAGGAGUGGUGCAUGG
rnacentral:rRNA from 1 species